rnacentral:rRNA from 1 species
GAACGCUGGCGGCAUGCCUUACACAUGCAAGGUCGAACGGCAGCACGGGAGCAAUCCUGGUGGCGAGUGGCGAACGGGUGAGUAAUAUAUCGGAACGUGCCCAGUCGUGGGGGAUAACGUAGCGAAAGCUACGCUAAUACCGCAUACGAUCUAUGGAUGAAAGCGGGGGAUCGCAAGACCUCGCGCGAUUGGAGCGGCCGAUAUCAGAUUAGGUAGUUGGUGAGGUAAAGGCUCACCAAGCCGACGAUCUGUAGCUGGUCUGAGAGGACGACCAGCCACACUAGGACUGAGACACGGCCCAGACUCCUACGGGAGGCAGCAGUGGGGAAUUUUGGACAAUGGGCGCAAGCCUGAUCCAGCAAUGCCGCGUGCAGGAUGAAGGCCUUCGGGUUGUAAACUGCUUUUGUACGGAACGAAACGGUGAGCUCUAAUACAGUUUGCUAAUGACGGUACCGUAAGAAUAAGCACCGGCUAACUACAUG